GAUGAACGCUGGCGGCGUGCCUAAUACAUGCAAGUCGAGCGAACAGAUAAGGAUCUUGCUCCUUUGACGUUAGCGGCGGACGGGUGAGUAACACGUGGAUAACCUACCUAUAAGACUGGGAUAACUUCGGGAAACCGGAGCUAAUACCGGAUAACAUAUUGAACCGCAUGGUUCAAUAGUGAAAGGCGGCUUUGCUGUCACUUAUAGAUGGAUCCGCGCCGUAUUAGCUAGUUGGUAAGGUAACGGCUUACCAAGGCAACGAUACGUAGCCGACCUGUGAGGGGGAUAGGCCACCCUGGAACUGAGACACGGUCCAUGCUACUACGGGAGGCAGCAGUAGGGAAUCUUCCGCAAUGGGCGAAAGCCUGACGGAGCAACGCCGAGUGAGUGAUGAAGGUCUUCGGAUCGUAAAACUCUGUUAUCAGGGAAGAACCAAUGUGUAAGUAACUGUGCACAUCUUGACGGUACCUGAUCAGAAAGCAACGGCUAACUACGUG
rnacentral:rRNA from 1 species